rnacentral:pre_miRNA from 1 species
AAUAAGAUCAUUUUUCAAUUUUUUAAUACAAUAUUUUGACUCUUCUUCUUAUUUAAUUUUUUUUGCGUUUAAUAUUUUUAUUCUUACUAGAUGAUAAAACAUAAAUAGUACUUUAUGCGUGACUAAAUUUUUAAAUUUGUGUAUAAAUUUUUUAAAUAAAACGAAUGGUCAAACAUUGAACAUGAAAAA